rfam:Crenarchaeota archaeon 13_1_40CM_3_52_10 13_1_40cm_3_scaffold_5050, whole genome shotgun sequence.
GGGCCCGUAGCUCAGCACGGUAACGUUGGCUUUGGACAACGCCAAGGAGCACACGACUGAUAAUCGUGGGGUCGAGAGUUCAAAUCUCUCCGGGCCCA